UCCCUGAUGGUCUAGUGGUCAGGAUUUGGCGCUUUCACUGCCAUGGCCCGGGUUCGAUUCCCGGCCUUCUUCCAGAAA